rnacentral:rRNA from 1 species
GGAGUUUGGUCCGUUUCUCAAUUCCAAUGUGGCUGAUUGUCCUCUCAAACCAGCUAGAGAUCAUCGCCUUGGUGGGCCGUUACCUCACCAACUAGCUAAUCAGACGCGGGUCCAUCCUGUACCACCGGAGUUUUUCCCCCUUGACCAUGCGGUCAUGUGGGCUUAUGCGGUAUUAGCAGUCGUUUCCGACUGUUAUCCCCCGGUACAGGGCAGGUUACCCACGCGUUACUCACCCGUCCGCCACUAAGCUUUCUCAAGUGCAAGCACUCGAUAGGCUCCGUUCGACUUGCAUGUGUUAAGCACGCCGCCAGCGUUCAUC